rnacentral:lncRNA from 1 species
AAUGCCCCUCCUGCUCUCUGAAGCUCCCUCCACAGACUCCUCCACCCCAGAACCUUCCGACAGGUAUGUCUAGAGGUCAGUUUGGACAGGGACAGGAACCUCUAGACAUGUUUUUCUGGGUGAACGAGAUAAGCGGAGAAAUCACCUACCCCCCGCAGAAGGCAGAUGCACCUGCUGUUUCUCCUGAGAGCCCACAAAAGAAGCCCCCAUUUCAGCCCAGGAGUGUGCAGGAGGCUCCUUGCAGUCCCCAGGGCCCGCCUGCACAGAGGCCUGCCCUUGCACCUCCAUCUAAGCCUUCUCUGAAAGACUCAGGCUCAAGAAACCCCUGCCCAUCUGCACCCACCUGGGCCAGGCCAAAGCCGGAGGAGUGAGGAGCCCCCACCGUUCUCAGCAAUCCCUGUCACCAUCUCAUCACCAGGAGUGACUCUGCCCAUACUCGGACCCCUGGGACCAGCCCUUCAGCCACCGGUCUCGACCUCUCCUCUCAGCCCUUCUGCACCCUGGGCCUUCACCUGCAAGCUGAACAAUGUCCUUACUGGGAAUAACUGGUUUUCCUUUUGAAUCUUAAGAAAAUUUGUCUGGCUACACUCUUUAAGCACCUUCCUGAGCCACCCGUGGCCAGGCUCUGCUGGCCGCAUCUGCCUGGCCCCAUCUACCUUCCCUGGAAGCACAGGACUCACCCCAGGGGUCUCACAGGAACAUGCCCAGUGCUUUCAAACCCAGUAAAAUUUUACUUAGAUUUUGA